AUACCGGGCCUUUUUGGGCUUGGUAAUUGGAAUGAGGGAGAGUUAAACGGACCAUCGAUUAUCCAUUGGAGGGCAAGUCUGGUGCCAGCAGCUGCGGUAAUACCAGCUCCAAUAGCGUAUAUUAAAGUUGUUGCAGUUAAAAAGCUCGUAGUUGGACUUGUGUGCGCUGUCCGCGGGUGGCCUGCGCCCAAAAGGGCGUUUCGGUUCGGCCCCGGUGGCGCCUUGAAAUCUGCAGCUGGGGGGACGUUGGCCUUAACUGGUCGGCGACCGCACGCCGGCUGCUCGGUUACUGUGAGAAAAUUAGAGUGUUCAAGGCAGGCAUUGGGUGCAAUUGAAUACAUUAGCAUGGAAUAAUAAAAUAUGGCUCCUGCCGUAUUUUGUUGGUUUUGACUGGUGGGAGUAAUGAUUGAUAGGGACGGUUGGGGGUGCUAGUAUUGAGCGGCCAGAGGUGAAAUUCAUGGAUUCGCUCAAGACUAACUUAUGCGAAAGCAUUCACCAAGGACGUCCUCUUUAAUCAAGAACGAAAGUUGGGGGAUCGAAGACGAUCAGAUACCGUCGUAGUCUCAACCAUAAACUAUGUCGACUUGGGAUCGGCGGUAGUUUUUUCAUUAAGACACUGUCGGGACCACGGGAGAAAUCAAAGUGUCUGGACUCUGGGGGAAGUAUGGUCGCAAGGCUGAAACUUGAAGGAAUUGACGGAAGGGCACCACCAGGAGUGGAGCCUGCGGCUUAAUUUGACACAACACGGGGAAACUUACCAGGUCCAGAGAUGUAGAGGAUUGACAGAUUGAAGCUCUUUCUUGAUCACUUCGGUGGUGGUGCAUGGCCGUUCUUAGUUGGUGGAGUGAUUUGUCUGGUUAAUUCCGUUAACGAACGAGACCUCAGCCUGCUAGUGUAGUCGGCUGGAUUGCCUUUGGCGAUCCGUGAUUUCGACUUCUUAGAGGGACAAUCGACGCGCAGUCGAUGGAAGUUUGAGGCAAUAACAGGUCUGUGAUGCCCUUAGAUGUUCUGGGCCGCACGCGCGCUACACUGCUGGGCUCAGCGGGUUUUACUUGGCCGAGAGGCCCGGUUAAUCUUGUGAAAUCCCAGCGUGCUUGGGCUCGCCUCCUGCAACUGGAGGCGCCAACGAGGAAUUCCUAGUAGACGCAGGUCAUCAACCUGCAUCGAUUACGUCCCUGCCCUUUGUACACACCGCCCGUCGUUCCAUAAGAGUGAGGCAUCCGGUGAAUUCUCGGGAGAGCCUGGGCGUGGCCAGCAAUGGUCUGCUCGGGUUUGAACUUGCAUAAACUUGGUGCCUAUGAUUAGGG
rnacentral:rRNA from 1 species